rnacentral:rRNA from 1 species
UCGUAACAAGGUUUCCGUAAGUGAACCUGCAGAAUGAUCAUUA